rnacentral:lncRNA from 12 species
AAUUUCUCUCUGUCCCUUCGCUGCCCCUGAUGCUGACGGUGUGGCUGUGCUUGUGUGCAGGGCAGGAGCUGGAUGGUGAAGAGGAGCUAUGAGGAUUUCCGGGUGCUGGACAAGCACCUGCACCUGUGCAUCUACGACCGGCGCUUCUCGCAGCUGGCGGAGCUGCCGCGCUCCGACGGCCUGAGGGACAGCCCCGAGCUGGUGACCCAGAUGCUGAUGGCUUACCUGGCUCGGCUCUCCAACAUCGCAGGCAACAAGAUCAACUGUGGCCCUGCCCUCACAUGGAUGGAGGUACAGCACAAACCUGGGCUGCUCCUUGUUCCCUCACCUUGGAAAUGCAGCAGGCACUCACCUGCUCGUU